rnacentral:rRNA from 1 species
UACAGAGGUCUCAAGCGUUGUUCGGAUUCAUUGGGCGUAAAGGGUGCGUAGGUGGCGUCGUAAGUGGGGUGUGAAAUCCCGGGGCUUAACCCCGGGACUGCAUUCCAUACUGCGGUGCUUGAGUACAGGAGAGGUUAACGGAACUCCAUGUGGAGCGGUAAAAUGCGUAGAUAUAUGGAAGAACACCAAUAACGGCGUAGGCAGUUAACUAUUCUGUUACUGACGCUGAGGCACGAAAGCGUGGGGAGCAAAACGG